rnacentral:rRNA from 1 species
UACGAAGGGGGCUAGCGUUGCUCGGAAUCACUGGGCGUAAAGCGCACGUAGGCGGCUUCUUAAGUCAGGGGUGAAAUCCUGGAGCUCAACUCCAGAACUGCCUUUGAUACUGGGAAGCUUGAGUUCGGGAGAGGUGAGUGGAACUGCGAGUGUAGGGGUGAAAUUCGUAGAUAUUCGCAAGAACACCAGUGGCGAAGGCGGCUCACUGGCCCGAUACUGACGCUGAGGUGCGAAAGCGCGGGGAGCGAACAGG